UACGAAGGGGGCGAGCGUUGUUCGGAAUUACUGGGCGUAAAGGGCGCGUAGGCGGCUUGGCAAGUGGAAGGUGAAAUCCCUCGGCUUAACCGAGGAACUGCCCUCCAAACUGCUUUGCUUGAGGCCGGGAGAGGUAAGUGGAAUUCCCAGUGUAGCGGUGAAAUGCGUAGAUAUUGGGAGGAACACCAGUGGCGAAGGCGGCUUACUGGACCGGUUCUGACGCUGAGGCGCGAAAGCGUGGGAGCAACAGG
rnacentral:rRNA from 1 species